ensembl:antisense
AGUUUCUGGAGGUCUCGACUCGGCAAUCACGAUGUUUUUGUUGGUUUCAGGGAACACAGGUGGAUUGUCAUUAAUGUCCCUCACCUCCACCUCCACGUGGAAAACCUGCAGCGGCCUGUCCACGAUCACCUCCAGGUGGAUGCUACACUCCAAGCUCCGCCCGCACAGCUCCUCCCGGUCGAUCCGAGAAUUCACAAACAAAAUGCCAUUCUGCAGAUUUACCUCCAGAAGGUCUCCGCGGUCCUUGGACGCCACCCUGAACAAGCGGGGCACCAGCUCCGUCAGCUCCAGCCCCAGGUCCUGCGCGAUGCGGCCCACGAAGGUGCCGUGUUUGGCCUCCUCUGGGAUGGAGUAGUGGAGCUGGCCGCUCCCUGCCUCCCAGGUUGUGAGGAGCAGGAGCGAGAGCAGGAGGCACCGGGAUCCUGGGCCGCUUUGCGAGAAUAAUAGCAUGGUACACACGCAGAAAGAUACGGUAGUAGCUACAGUAGACAAAAAAACCUUACCUGAAACUGCCUCUCAAACGCUGUUUUGAAGAUGUCCUGGUACUAGAGAAUUCACAGAGAGUUCUCUGAAGGAAGUGACUUUCUUUGAAAAGAAAAAAAGUUCGCAGUGAAGAGCGACAUCAUGAGGCAUGAAUGUGUUGGGAGGUAGGCUGGGGCUAAAUGCCAUGAGGUCGGUCUUGGGAAGAACUUCCCCAGAGCACACCCUCUGCCGCCUCUGCUGUGAGUAGGACCAGCUCCCCACCUCGCUGGAGCACACCAGCAUGGGCUUUCCAGGCCCCCCAGUGGCCUCAUUGACCAUAGGCAAUGCUGAGCAGCGCAGCGCUGUAUACAGCAGCAGCGUGAGUACCAACAGGCUGGACACUGCGCAGAUGGCGAUAAUCAAAUACACGUUGACAUCCACCAGCGAUGCCUCCGGGGCUGAAGCACGACCUGAUGCCUGUGAAAAGGACUUUGGAGCUUGGCCGCUUUCCACAAGAGACACUAAAACAGUUGCAGUGGCUGUCAGUGCUGGCUCACCAUGGUCCUUCACCAGCACCAAUAGAGUCUGCCGAGGAGAGUCCACCUCAUCCAAGGCACGCGUCGUGCUGAUCUCACCCGUGUACAGACCCACGCGGAAGGGGCUGCGUACGCCACCUGUUCCCAACUGUACUUCAUAUGACAGCCAAGCAUUGUAACCAGAGUCGGCAUCCACUGCCCGCACCUUGGUGACUACAUGGCCCGAUCCCACCGACCGAGACACAAGCUCGCUCACUGCCCCACCAGCUCCAACAGCUCCAUGAGGCAGCAGCGUGGGCGCAUUGUCAUUCUCAUCCAGCACAAACACCUGCAGAGUCACAUUGCUGCCCAGGGCAGGCACACCAGCAUCCCGCGCGCUCACCUGGAACUGCAGCAGUUCCAGCUCCUCAUGGUCCAGAGGCUGCAGAGCGAACACCUUGCCGCUUUCCGCGUGCACAGACACAUAGCUCGACAGCAAGCGCUCGCCCACCCUCCGCUCCACCAGCGAGUAGGACACCAGCGCGUUCUCCUGCGCAUCCGCAUCCAUCGCUGACACUGUAAAGAUGUGCGCUCCAGGCGGGUUGUUCUCCUUCACGAACACCGUGUAUUCAGGCUGCGCGAACACUGGAGCAUUGUCGUUCACGUCAGCCACUUCCACGGACACGCUGACAGUGGCAGACAGUGAAGGCGAGCCCCCGUCCCGCGCUAUCACAACCAAAUCAUAAGUUGACACUCUCUCGCGGUCCAGACUGCUAUCCAGUACCAGAGAAUAAUAAUUUUUAAAGGUGGAUACAAUCUUGAAGGGGACAUUGGGUGUAAGAGAGCAGGUCACUUGGCCAUUGAUUCCAGAAUCAAGGUCGGAUACGCUAAUUAAAGCAAUGACUGUAUUUGGCUGGGCAUCCUCUCUUACUGGGAGGGACAGCGAAGUUAAUGUCACUUCAGGGGAGUUGUCAUUGGUGUCUAAGAUUUCUACCAAGACUACACAGUGACCUACCAUUGGAGGUGUUCCUUUAUCCGUGGCCAGCACUUCUAUUUCAUACAAUUUGUUCUCUUCAUAAUCUAAAGUCCCGUUGACCCUCAAUUCUCCAUUUUUUUCAUCUAGGGUAAAUAAAUGCCUCCCAGUGGGCUUAAUGGACAUCAAAGAGUAUACCAGUUGCCCGUUUGCACCUUCGUCUAGAUCCGUGGCGUUCAACGUUAUGACAAGAGUUUCUUUAGCAGCAUUUUCCAUUAUUCUUACCUUGUAUUCUAAAUGAUCGAACACUGGAUCAUUGUCGUUAACAUCUAAGACACGAACCCAAAGCUGAACUGUACCCGUGAGCUCCGGUUUUCCCCCAUCUGUGGCUGUUAAUAGCAAAUUAAGUUCCGGGGUUUUCUCCCGAUCUAGAACCUUCUUUAAUAUAAGUGACGGUCUUUUAGUUUGCUUACUAUUGAUUGGUGGUUCUAAAGAAAAAUACUCGUUUUGACUUAAUCUGUAGACCAAUACAGCGUUCUCUCCUAUGUCCGCAUCAGACGCUCCCUCUAGCGGAAAACGCGAGUCUGGUUGCUUGGAUUCAGAAAUAAGCAGCCUUUGUUCUCUAAGAGGAAACACUGGCGGGUUGUCAUUAAUGUCCCUCACCUCCACCUCCACGUGGAAAACCUGCAGCGGCCUGUCCACGAUCACCUCCAGGUGGAUGCUGCACUCCGCGCUCCGCCCGCACAGCUCCUCCCGGUCGAUCCGAGAAUUCACAAACAAAAUGCCAUUCUGCAGAUUUACCUCCAGAAGGUCCCCGCGGUCCUUGGACGCCACCCUGAACAGGCGGGGCACCAGCUCCGUCAGCUCCAGCCCCAGGUCCUGCGCGAUGCGGCCCACGAAGGUGCCGUGUUUGGCCUCCUCUGGGAUAGAGUAGUGGAGCUGGCCGCUCCCUGCCUCCCAGGCAGCGAGGAGAAGAAGCCAGCGCAGCGGUGGCAGAGUGCAGGAUCCCCUUCUCUGAAAACUUAACAUUGCAUAUGAAAUCGGCCUCCAAAAUGUCUCUCUUCGCUGAUUGUAUCAGAUGCUUGUCUUCAGAUUGAAAUCACGCUUGAUUCUCGUGAAUUUUCAAAGGAUCCCUUUAUAAGCAGCACUCAGAAUGACGGAGUCGGGUUUUGUAUGAGGAGCGCUAGACUCUUCGAACCAAUCCAUGAAUGAACUCUUUCCACCAAGUAAAGAGCGACACCUUGUGCCUGAAAUUGUGAGUACUCGUGUACAUCCACCACUGGAGAAUUUCACAUUUUGUAUAUUUUGCCCAAAAUAAUUCCAAAAUGCACAUUUAUUGACCAUUCUGAUUUUAAGCCACACUGAAGGAGGUACACACCACAUGUGUGAAGGUGGUACUUUUUAUUGAACAGCAUCAUAUUAAAUUCUUGUUUAACUUACAUCUACAAAAUUAUUCUUUUAUCUAAACACUUGAAAAAGAAGGCUCGUUUCUUUAGGUAAACUUGAAAAAACUAGAGUUAAACAGUUUCCUAACAUCUUAUUUAUUAUAUAAAAUAUUAUCAGAUUUGAAUUGUUAUAAUUACAGUCUCCUUUAUUGCUUAUGCUGUCAGGGAACUCAAUAGCUGUCCCAUCAGUUGAACCUAGUUUGCUGUUGCUGUUUGUGGUUUGGAGUUUUGUUUGAGUCUACAGUUGGUAGCCCUUGAAGUUCCAAAAUAACAGUGUUCUGUACACUAUGCCCUUAGCUAUGUAGGUUUGCAUUCUCUUAUAUUUAAAAAAAAUAAAUUUUCUUGAACAAAUUUAUGAGGUGCAAGCUAUGUGCGGAUGCAUGUAUCUACUGAUGCAUGUAAUGAUCAAAUCAGAGUUAACACAUAACCACAUCAAACAUUCAUCAUCUCUUUGUAGUGAAACUUUCCAAGUUAUCUCUGUUCCUCUUAUUAAUAUAUACAUGCCAUUAUCAGCAACAUCAUCCUUAUUUUCUUCCGUUCUGAUUCUUGAUUCUAGUUUACAUGACAUUGGUUUCUUGUAAUAAAUUACUGAGUUUGUGUCCACUGCAGAAUAAGAAAACAAUGUUUUCACACUUUAUCAUUUGAAACAGAAUUCAUGAAGGAAAACCCUGUUGAUCUAGAUGAACUCUGCCUUUGACAUAUAUGAUUUCUCACACAAAUUCUACUGUCAGUAAUGAUACCAUGAUAUUUUACUUGUAUGAUCAUUGAUAAGACAACAAAGGCAGCUUUUUAAAUCAAGUAAUACUCUUACCUCAGUGUUAAAUGGUUUUGAGGGUUCUGCAACCUACAGGUAUUACAAUAACAUAUGAAAAAUGUCAGAAACUAUGAUUUAAAAAAUAAAGAAAGGGAUCGGUCACCUCUAAGAACAGUGGGUUCUAUUAUGUACCUGUAAAACAAUGCAAUCAUGGGUAGUCAAUUCAAAUUCAAUACGUAAAAUAACAGUAAGCUGGACACAAUAUGCGAAGUGUAUCAGAUUUAUAUUGAACAAAAGGAAAUGGGAUUCUCCAACUACAUUGUCACAAGAAAAAAGGUUUGAGAUGCAAAAUGUAAAAAACAAAUAUGAAAAACUCUACCCAUGAGAGGAGAGGUGAUGAUGUCACAAAUGUGAGUUAAAAUCAUAUUCUAACCUAAGUGUUUGUUUCCAAUAAUACAUAGUUUUGGAUAUAUGAAAGUGGUCCUGGGUAAAUACCAAGUCAAAAGUUGGUAAAGAGUGUGACUCAAUAUCCCAUAUUUUAGUUCAGUGAUCUAUAUCUGAAAUAGUUCCAGUAUCUAUAUCUGAAUUAUUCCUAGAAAAGAUAUUAUGCUCUCUCUAACCUUAAUGGGCGCAACAUCCAGCUGCAGACUAAUCUCAAGAAAUCUCAUCAAAAUCAUUGUUAAUACUGAUUUUGUAAAAAUUGAUUGAUGAAUUCAUGGACUUCAUGUUCAACGGUUACUAAAUCAGUUUGACUAUAUAUAAAUCCUACCGGUGUGUCUCACUAAUUAUAUAUUAAAAUGCAAAGUUUUAUGUCCUCUUA